rnacentral:rRNA from 1 species
CCCUUAGAUGUUCUGGGCCGCACGCGCGCUACACUGAUGCAUUCAACGAGUUACCUUGGCCGAGAGGCCUGGGCAAUCUUUUGAACGUGCAUCGUGAUAGGGAUAGAUUAUUGCAAUUAUUAAUCUUGAACGAGGAAUUCCUAGUAAACGCAGUUCAUCAAACUGCAUUGAUUACGUCCCUGCCCUUUGUACACACCGCCCGUCGCACCUACCGAUUGGAUGGACCGGUGAAGCCUCGGGAUUGUGGCCAGUGCCUUUUUGGUUUUGGUUGCGAGAACUUGUCUAAACCUUAUCAUCUAGAGGAAGGUGAAGUCGUAACA